ACAUUUGUUGGUUCAGUGGUAGAAUUCUCGCCUUCCAUGCAGGAGAUCUGGGUUUGAUUCCUAGCCAAUACA
rnacentral:tRNA from 1 species